rnacentral:lncRNA from 1 species
GUGUCGGUAACGGUUCUCGAGGUUACCGAGAAACUUAUUGAUUUGUAUGUGCUACCACGUUACCGAAAUACUCAGAUAAGUGGAAAGUGGAAGCUUUUUAUCUUGUUGACAAUCUGUCUUUAUUCUCCCGGACAUGACUGAUUUGCGAAUGACCGUGUUACGAUGCGGUUAUUUCAUUCGUUGUUUCACGUAUGUUUCGUUUCUGAGGAUGGCCCCCCAAAGGGGCGAAACGUAAAAAUGAGACUAGUUCUUGAUUGACCUACGACACCAAAAAAAACAUCAUUAUACAUCAAGAAGGUCGAGAAACACUUCCUACUUUAUUUAACCUUUUG